rnacentral:rRNA from 1 species
AUUGAACGCUGGCGGCAGGCUUAACACAUGCAAGUCGAGCGGGGUGAUGGUGCUUGCACUAUCACUUAGCGGCGGACGGGUGAGUAAUGCUUAGGAAUCUGCCUAUUAGUGGGGGACAACAUCUCGAAAGGGAUGCUAAUACCGCAUACGUCCUACGGGAGAAAGCAGGGGAUCACUUGUGACCUUGCGCUAAUAGAUGAGCCUAAGUCGGAUUAGCUAGUUGGUGGGGUAAAGGCCUACCAAGGCGACGAUCUGUAGAGGGUCGGAGAGGAUGAUCCGCCACACUGGGGCUGGGACACGGCCCAGACUCCUGCGGGAGGCAGCAGUGGGGAAUAUUAGACAAUGGGGUGAACCCUGAUCCAGCCAUGCCGCGUGUGUGAAGAAGGCCUUAUGGUUGUAAAGCACUUUAAGCGAGGAGGAGGCUCUUUUGGUUAAUACCCAAGAUGAGUGGACGUUACUCGCAGAAUAAGCACCGGCUAACUCUGUGCCAGCCGCCGCCGUAA